rnacentral:rRNA from 1 species
GGAAUCUUGCACAAUGGGCGACAGCCUGAUGCAGCAACGCCGCGUGUGGGAUGAAGGCCUUCGGGUUGUAAACCACUUUCAGGAGGGAAGAAAUUGACGGUACCUCCAAAAGAAGCACCGGCCAACUACGUGCCAGCAGCCGCGGUAAUACGUAGGGUGCAGGCGUUAUCCGGAGUCAUUGGGCGUAAAGAGCUCGUAGGCGGUUCAGCAAGUCGGCUGUGAAAGUUCAAGGCUCAACCUUGAAAAUGCAGUCGAUACUGCUGUGACUAGAGUCUGGUAGAGGAGAAUGGAAUUCCCGGUGUAGCGGUGGAAUGCGCAGAUAUCGGGAGGAACACCAGUAGCGAAGGCGGUUCUCUGGGCCUCGACUGACGCUGAGGAGCGAAAGCGUGGGGAGCAAAC